rnacentral:rRNA from 1 species
UUCNCCCUUGAGUUUGAUCAUGGCUCAGGACGAACGCUGGCGGCGUGCUUAACACAUGCAAGUCGAACGGAGAAUUUAUUUCGGUAAAUUCUUAGUGGCGAACGGGUGAGUAACGCGUGGGCAAUCUGCCCUUCAGAUGGGGACAACAUCCCGAAAGGGGUGCUAAUACCGAAUACGAUCGUUUUCCCGCAUGGGAUUGCGAUGAAAGAUGGCCUCUAUUUAUAAGCUAUCGCUGAAGGAUGAGCCUGCGUCUGAUUAGCUAGUUGGUGGGGUAACGGCCUACCAAGGCGAUGAUCAGUAGCCGGUCUGAGAGGAUGAACGGCCACAUUGGGACUGAGACACGGCCCAAACUCCUACGGGAGGCAGCAGUGGGGAAUAUUCCGCAAUGGACGAAAGUCUGACGGAGCAACGCCGCGUGAGUGAUGAAGGUUUUCGGACUGUAAAGCUCUGUUGUUUAGGACGAAAGUGCCUGUUGCGAACAGUUACAGGUAUUGACGGUACUAAACGAGGAAGCCACGGCUAACUACGUGCCAGCAGCCGCGGUACAAGGGCGAAUUCGCGGCCGCUAAAUUUCAAUUCGCNGGGGGGGGGGG